ensembl:snRNA U2 U2 spliceosomal RNA
AUCAUUUAGUUAAACAUUUUGGCUAAGAUCACAGUGUAGUAUCUGUUCUUAUCAGUUUAAUAUAAUGAAAAUCUCAACAAUUGAAGAACCCGGGGACCAUAUAUUAAAUUGAUUUUUGGAAUAGGGAGAUGGAAAAGAGCAUUGGUAUUCUAUCCACUCCAGACAGUUUUCGACCUGGUAUUCAGUCCUUCAGGUUGCAGGUGCACCCCU